rnacentral:rRNA from 1 species
AUGUGGACAGCGAGGAUGCAGAUGUCCAUAGGAGCUUCCCGUCACCGGCGGCGGCGCCUUCCCUCCCUCGCCCUCUCCUCCUUCCCUCCUCACGGCCGCCUCCACCACGCCACAAACCCCGGUGACGGCCUUAUCCACACCUCAUCCUCCUCCCCCUCCCCCGGUCCCGUCCCGAGCCCCGCUGCCCGACGCCACCUCAUCACCUUAAGCUGCCGCAGCCCAUGCUUUCACCCGCCCUCCGCCUCCGCGGUAGCCUGCUCUUUCUACAUCGACCGGAUCCUGCUGCCCAGCAGCUUCUCGCAUCCACUCUCGACCUCCUCCCGGGAUAAGGACAAGGAGGAGAGCCUCCCGCCCGCGCCACCGGCGUCGUGGGUGGAGAGGUGGCUCUCGGCCGGUGGGGCGGGGAAUUUCACCAGUGUGUUUGAGGCCGAGCUCGCCGACACCGUCCCGGUGGUCAAGGCAUACAUCGGCGGCAUGAGGAUCCUCGGGACAUUGUGCGUGGGCAACAAGAACGGCCUUCUUCUACCACACACCACCAACGACCAAGAGCUCCAGCACCUCAAGAAUAGCCUGCCUGAUGAGGUGGUCGUCCAGUGUGUUGACGAGCGGCUCUCCGCCCUCGGCAACUACGUCGUGGGUGGAGAGAUGGCGAUGUCGGGGGACCUCCCUAGCUUGAAAAUGCUGGCGCUCUUCGGAUGCGGAGCUGUCCUCCUCAUGGGGGCUGGUUGCACGGUGAAUGAUCUUCUCGACUGCGACAUCGAUAACAAGGAGCUGGAGGAAAAGAGGAAGGAGAAGGCCAAGAUCUCCUACGACAGGAGAAAGCAACUGGCGAAGCUCCGCGUCAAGGCCGAGAAGGCAGCCGAAGAGAAGGUUCUGAGGCUGCAGCCUGGGCACAGGUACUGCCUCCUCGGCCAGCCCUCCAAGGAGGUCGGAUGGAACUAUGCUCACACCAUCAGGUUGAGCUAUUUCAUUGUGCUAUUUCUUGCUGUUUCUUCAGUGCUCACUAGUUGCUAG